GCUGUUCGGGAGUCAAUAGACUGUUCGGAAGUAACUGAUCCCACAUUUGCAUUAGUAAGGGAAGGACCUGAUUGACCUAAGGCAAGGAAGUGUAGCCCAGCCGCAAGUGAAUCCGAAGAGCUUUUUUGCGUAUAAAGGGCUUCUUUUCGACGUGCAUCAGAUCUGGGCAGCUAGGAAGGAAAACUCUGAAGCCAAUAGGUUGUUUUCAAAUGUGCACAUGAAGAAGAAAAGGCUGUUUGGGAGAUUAAGUGCCUAGCCCUAGCCUUAGAUAGAGCAAAGCAGACUGAGGGCAUGAAGGAGGUAAUCAAUGGCAUUCAGAUCAGGCAUGAAGGAAGUAGG
rnacentral:lncRNA from 1 species